AACGCAAAUUGCACUCCCUGGCAUUCCGGGGAGUAUGCCUGUUUGAGGGUCAGUUUAAAUAAAUAUCGUGGUGUUGCUUUUUGUGACGCUUCGGAAUUGGGUUAUCUUGAUCCUCUGGGUUAAGCGGCCUAAAAUUGAAGUAUCUCUGUGCAUCUUGGACGUACAUAAGAAUUUUUUUCCUAUCCGUCAGGGUUGCCAGGUUCUUAUUAGGUAUGAUCACGUUAUUUGUGAAAUCUGUACCUAUAACGUAACUCAUAUUUUGACCUCAAAUCAGGUAGGAAUACCCGCUGAACUUAA
rnacentral:misc_RNA from 1 species